UGGGGAAUAUUGCACAAUGGGCGCAAGCCUGAUGCAGCCAUGCCGCGUGUAUGAAGAAGGCCUUCGGGUUGUAAAGUACUUUCAGCGGGGAGGAAGGGAGUAAAGUUAAUACCUUUACUCAUUGACGUUACCCGCAGUAGAAGCACCGGCUAACUCCGUGCCAGCAGCCGCGGUAAUACGGAGGGUGCAAGCAUUAAUCGGAAUUACUGGGCGUAAAGCGCACGCAGGCGGUUUGUUAAGUCAGAUGUGAAAUCCCCGGGCUCAACCUGGGAACUGCAUCUGAUACUGGCAAGCUUGAGUCUCGUAGAGGGGGGUAGAAUUCCAGGUGUAGCGGUGAAAUGCGUAGAGAUCUGGAGGAAUACCGGUGGCGAAGGCGGCCCCCUGGACGAAGACUGACGCUCAGGUGCGAAAGCGUGGGGAGCAAACAGG
rnacentral:rRNA from 1 species